rnacentral:rRNA from 1 species
CCUACGGGAGGCAGCAGUGGGGAAUAUUGCACAAUGGGCGCAAGCCUGAUGCAGCAACGCCGCGUGAGGGACGACGGCCUUCGGGUUGUAAACCUCUUUUAGUAGGGAAGAAGCGAAAGUGACGGUACCUGCAGAAAAAGCACCGGCUAACUACGUGCCAGCAGCCGCGGUAAUACGUAGGGUGCAAGCGUUAUCCGGAAUUAUUGGGCGUAAAGAGCUCGUAGGCGGUUUGUCGCGUCUGCUGUGAAAACUGGAGGCUCAACCUCCAGCCUGCAGUGGGUACGGGCAGACUAGAGUGCGGUAGGGGAGAUUGGAAUUCCUGGUGUAGCGGUGGAAUGCGCAGAUAUCAGGAGGAACACCGAUGGCGAAGGCAGAUCUCUGGGCCGUAACUGACGCUGAGGAGCGAAAGCAUGGGGAGCGAACAGGAUUAGAUACCCUGGUAGUCCAUGCCGUAAACGUUGGGAACUAGAUGUAGGGACCAUUCCACGGUUUCUGUGUCGCAGCUAACGCAUUAAGUUCCCCGCCUGGGGAUACGGCCGCAAGGCUAAAACUCAAAAGNGUAAGUCGGACGUGAGAGACGCGACGACGACGACGACGGAGGAGGAG